rnacentral:lncRNA from 10 species
CUGGGAGGCGGAGGUUGCAGUGAGCUGAGAUCACAGCACUGCACUUCAGCCUGGGUGACAGAGCGAGACUCUCUCAAAAACAAAACAAAAUUUCUUUUUCUUUGAUUUUCUUUUUGUAGAGAUGGGAGUCUCAUUAUAUUGCCCAGGCUGGUCUUGAACUUCUUGCUUCAAGCGAUCUUCCUGCCUUAACCUCCCAAAGGGCUGGGAUUACAGGCGUGAGCCACUGCACCUGGCCUAAAAUAUCUUUCUGUAAUUCAAUCUGUAGGUCAAACCUGCCACUCUAAUGUAGUGGUAGAAACUGAAUUUCAGUUAAUUUGGAGGUUUUCCUGUCUUUCCCACAGGGGUAUGGCACUGUCAGCGGAAGACUGUCAGAUCUCUGCAGCAUGACCCUCAUCCUUGUUCCCAACCUUUUCUGUCAGUCACUGUCUGCCUCCCUUUCUUUGGUUGGCUGCCCAUCAAUGACCUAUUAUCAUCAUUGCCAUAGAUCCCUGAGAAGCACUCCCCCUCCCACAGUUGCCAUUCCAAUCUUGCUACACAGUAUAAGAGCCCUCUUGGCUUCUGAGGGUUAAAUGUUGCCAUCCAGAAUGGUUAAAUGCCAUUCCAGAAUCGUGUCAUCCCCAAGACACUAAGGAGCCAAGUUCCAUGGCAGCAUCUCCUAGCCACAGAGCACAGCCACCACCAGCUUUCUAUGACACCAGUGCCCCCUCACGUCCACAUUCUGCAUUGCCUUAGUGAAGAGCGCCUCCUCUGGGCAGCUCCAUGAAACACCUUCUGGUCUCAUGUAAUAAAUCCGUUCUAACAUUCCCACUUCCCUGAGCCUUCAUCUCUACCUCAUUAAUGGUAGGCCACUAUGGUGUCCAAGCUUCCGGGAGCCGUCUGGCGUGAAGACAAGCUCCAGCUGUCCUUUGACAGGACUUUAAAUCCUGAGUCUUGGGGCAUGCACCCUUGUCAAUCAAUGCCCCACCGGUCUUCUAUUGCCCCCUCCCCGCCUGGAUCUGGUACCCCACCUGGAUCUGGUACCCUCAUGAUCGCUCCCGCAAGUGUUCUCCCAGGUCCUGCAACUUUUUGGGUGACUGAGUGAUUUCCUCCUAGGGUAGGAAAUAUUUCACUGCUUGGGCUAUGCUGAGAUGUGAUCCUGCUUGUUGGUCUGGAGGCAAUGAGAGGAGGUGGAUCUUGAGGAGGAUUAGUGUUAUCUUACAGGGUACUCACCUGUAACGGGGAGAUCUCUGCACUGUCUCCAGGCUAGAUGAAGCUGUCCUCCUCUGUCAAUGGGAAGAAGGCAGUUUCUGCUGGCCAGGAUGCUUCAGGGGACUCUGGGGGCUCAAGGUUCUUUGGUACAUCCACCCAAACAUCCCACGUCAGGCCUAGAGUCCCAUUUAUUCCUUUAAAAGCACCCAAUGGGCCGGUUACUGUGGCUCAUGUCUGUAAUCCCAGAAGUUUGUGAGGCCAUGGCAGGUGGAUCAGUUGAGGCCAGGAGUUCGAAACCAGCCUGAGGAACAUAGCAAGAUCCCCGUCUCUACAAAAAUAAAAAUAAUAGAAGCCCCCACUUUAGUACAGGAGACCUGCUGAGGAUGCACAAGUGUCUUUUGCAGCUCUGCUGCUCUUGUGAUGAAAUAUUGGUUCUCAUUUUCAGCAUGCUCUGCCUCCUGGCCACGGAAGCAAGGUUUUCUUUACAUGUUGUCUUGGGAGAGUUCCUGCCUUUCACAGCAUACUCUGAGUAGAUAGCAGGCUGAACUGCAUCUUUCAUUCUCUUGCUUCAAAGCUGCUAAGGUGAUUUAGAAAAGCUAGCCACCUCCAUAAUCCUUGCAACAGCAGCUGCUUCCACAUCUUUCAAGUGACAAAGCUACUGCAUAAGCCAAGCUUUCUCUUCAACUUCUAUCUCCUUAUCUACCACAGACGGAGUCUCGCUCUGUUGCCCAAUCUGCAAUGCGUGGCACAAUCUCAGCUCACUGCAACGUCUGCUUCCCAGGUUCAAGAAAUUCUCCCACCUCAGCCUCCCGAGUAACUGGGAUUACAGGCUUGUGCCACAACACCUGGCUAAUUUUUGUAUUUUUAGUAGAGACGGGGUUUCACCAUGUUGGCCAGGCAGGUCUCGAACUCCUGACCUCAGAUGAUCCGCCUGCCUUGGCCUCCCAAAGUGCUGGGAUUACAGGUGUGAGCCACCACACCUGGCCCUCAUCUCUCCUCUUGCUUGACAAACCUACACAGCCUUUUUGACCUGCCUCCUCAAACCCAGAAAUAUUUUUGCAAAGCUCUAUUCCCCAGAGGAUUCUGAGCUGUAGGAGGUGAAAGCCAG